GCUGUCACCGCUGUGGGGGCCAGCCUGACCACCUCAUCCACCGUUUCCUCUAGAGUGCCCCAGACCUCCCCAGGGCUCCAUCCAGUUUAGUCAUUUCCAGCAUCAAUCCUCGCUCAGCCACUCUUCAGUUCCGACCAUGCUACGAUGGGAAGACAUCCAUCUGCAGUGGAUUGUGGAGGGGGCAGGUGAAGUAACACAGAAAGAAAAUGACAGAGAAGGAGAGUGUGAGAGAGAGGACUAAAUGCCCAGAAGCUGGGAUUGAGCCAAGCUGAAGUGAAAAGCCAGGAACUCCAUCUGAGUAUCCAAUGUGAGUAUCAGAGACCAAAGUACUUGAGUCCUCAUCUUCCACCUAACAGGGUGUGCAUUAGUAAGAAGCUGGGUAGGAAGCAAAGUAGGACUUGGUCUAAAAGCACGCCAAAUAGAAUGCGAGGGGCCCAAGCAGUGGUUUAACCUAUGCGCCCUGAUAUUUUAUUCAUUUAAAAUACUAUAUGCUUACAUAUAAAUAUAUGUA